AAACAGGUCCUGAGUAGGAGAAUCGAGAUGAUCGCAAUCUCGGGAGGACUUGGUUCGGAAUUCAUUUUUAUAAAUUAAUUGUCCAUACUACAUCCUCACAAUGGGGGCAGCUUCCUGGAGACCAUACAUCCCAUAAUAUGGAUUUUUGUUUGCAGACGUCACAUUAAGUUCACAUUAUGUUAACAAUAAAUCGUAAAAUAAUAAUAAUACAUAAA